AUAUAUAUAUAAUGGGGUCUAUUUUCAUUUCUUAUUAUUUACUGACAUACCAAAAUGACCAUGUCUGAGUUUCCUAAGCAUUAGCUUAGCAAUAGCAUGACUUCUCUAGACAGAUUUCUCAGUUCUUAUGAACAUUUUGGUCUCAAGGCAGUGAAACAAAUCAGUAGAAUUUGGUAGGUUUUUUAUUUUUCCUUUUUAAUGAUUAGAUAAGAACAACUCUGUCUCCUUUCGUGUGUGAACAUUGAUGACCAAUAUCUACAUGAACGCAGAGUGCAAGUAGUCAGCGUUCAGGCUCAUUCCCCACACGAUUUGUGGGGUGAUUCACUGCUUUUGGUAGCAGACGCAAAGCAAGAAGAGAGGCCCCACGCUUUAUUUGCCUGUGAAGGGCUGGGACGUCCAGGUUCACUGGGUGUGAAAAAUCUGUUUUAGAGAAAAAAACAUCAAAACAAAGUCCUCGUAGCUGUGUACUUUUCUACCUUUGGAGCUAGGAUCCAAAGUCCAGUCUCGACAGGACUUACUUGCCUUCCAGAGAGCAGGGGUAGCUGCAGGGGAUGGUCCCAGAGCUUUGCACAAACUGGGUUCUCUGUAGAAAUAGUAGGAGCUUGGGAUACAGAAUAACACAACCAGUUUCUUUAGGAGAGGGAGUUCUCUAGGGGCGGAGCUGUGUACCUGGUCAACCUGACUGUAUCCUGCACUCUGGUGAAUCUGGGUUGACUUUGGACAGUAAUCUCUACACCAACAUGGGGCUUGAACUCACAACCCCAAGAUCAGGAGCCACAUGCUGUACUGACUGAGCCAGUCAGGCACCACUAUAAGGCUCGCAAGCCACAUCCUCUGUGAAGGCUUUCAAAGAGGGCCCCAGUCAGCCCCUCCCACCAGUGUCCCUCACACGGCCUUCUGCGCCCACGAUUUGGGUGAACACAUUUCUGAAUCAAGAGUGCAGAUGUGACAGUUCAGAUGGCAAAGACUGUGCUCCUGGAGACAAUGGGACGGAUAAUUGAACGAAGUCCAGAAGAACCUCGUGGGAGAUCACUCCUUCUUCCUCUCCACCACCCUGUGAGGGGCCAGGAAGGGCCCUUCUCUGGCAGGGAGCUGUUUGUAUCUCUUCGUAUCUGCCCCGCACCUGGCACGAUGCCCACCCCAAUCGUUGUUGCCGAGUGUCUGAGGAUUCUACCGGGCCUGAGAUUUUUUAAAGAACAGAUCCAAAUCUCAUGUGUAAAUUCCGCCAAAUAACCAACCAACCCAACCAAGCCAGUAAGAGACAUCGUUUGCAUCUUGGCUUUAUCCCUAAGAUGAUUUGCUUUUCCUAGCCUCCGCUUCCUCGUCUGUGAAACAGGGAUAGGAGUAGCUAUUUCCAGGGGUUGCUGUGAAGAUUAAGGGAGCGAAUUGAAGGAAAUUAGCAAACACAGGGCCUGGCUCAGGAGUCUUUGUUUCAGGCGCAGAGAUAUGUGGAGCUCAUCACUAUAAACAGGAACUGGGAGACAAGGUCAUGUCCUGAAAUAACUUUUUAAGGUUAGGAUUUCAUUGGGAAUUUUAAAAGUUAAGACAAUGAAGAAUACCACUGAUAUUUACUAACAGCGUUAGCAUUCGAGGAUGCAUCCUCCUAAAUUUUACAAGAACUCUCUUUUAUCCACAAGAUUUAUAGUCGGGCUGGGGAAGGUGUGGUUCACCAUUUGUUUUGCUGCACCUUUGUUUAUCUGCUGUCUGAUCCCAAACUUAGCCCUGCAAAGGAGUCGGUGGGGUGAGUGCUUUACAGAUUGCGGGGCCCCAACCCCACACGCCUACUGAAUCAGAAUUGGGGGCAGGAAGGGGACUGUAGAUGUACAUUUAUAAAAACCUCCCCUUGUGGUUUGAUCAUCUGCAAGUUUGGGGAACCACUAGUAUAUGUAUCGCUAGAAAAGCAUACUGCUCAAAAGUCUCCAUGACUCAGCUUCAUCGUCUUUGUAAUUAAAAAAAAAAAAUGAGUUAAUUUGCCUUUGUGUGAACUAUUAGCUUUCUUAAUGCCUGUUUCACCUUCACCGCGGUCUGUUCAUCCUGGAACAGGAUGAACUGGAAAGAACCGUUCCAGUUAAACAAUAGUAGAAAAAAAAGGUGCAAACUUUACCAGCUUCCCUACCACCUUAGCAUCAGUGAGGUGUUUCCCCCCAUGUCCUCCUGGGGCAAUUUAAAUGCUAAUGUGUCAGUACUAUAAUCUCUUUAGCAAUCAGAUAGAAUUGUUUUUCUGCCAAUCUUAUUUCUCUUUGUUUUAUAUUUGUUCAUUCAUUCGUUCGUUCAUUUGUUCAUUGUUAGAGAGGCAUAUGUUUAUCAUCUUUGACCUUUCAAACCUCAAGAGAAGAAGAAGAAGAAGAAGAAGAAGAAGAAGAAGAAGAAGAAGAAGAAAAUUCCAUCCUGGUAUCUUCUCUGCAGUACUUUCAAGAGGAGAGGAGGGCAUCCACCCUCUAAACCUGAGAUCUGCAAUUUGAAUGUGCUGAGUCACCUAGUUUGCAGGGUCAAACAUUUUGCACCUAGGAAAAGUACCGCAGAAAAUAAAACUGUGAGCAGCUAGCUGGUAUGUUGUUAUUUGGAUACGAAUAAGAAGACUGGAACGGGGAUCAUGCAUAGUAACUUAUUAUUAACUUUUAAACUUGUUUUCAGAGAUUUCUAAUAGCCUGGUAAAUCCUCUUUCUGUCUGGUGAUUUGUUGGUGAAAUUCUUUAAAUAUUUCUUCCUGUUCCUGGAAAGUGAAAAUGAAUAUAAAUGGUAAAGCAGUUGUCUUACAAUGUUUAGAAAAAAGGAAAAAAGAAAUGGUCUUUGCCAUUAUUCUGAAGUUUUGCAUAACUAAGCUUCUUGAAUUAGCUUCCUUUCAAAGAAUUAGUCACAAAAGCGUAACAGUAAUGAACUAGAUAUUGAGGGCUGGUGUCUAACUUUAGUCGAACUUUCAGUAAGUCUGUUUUCUUAUUUGAUCAUGUAGUUGAAUAGACAGUGAGGAGAUGUGACUACAACUGGAUUAAUAGGGGAAGUGGCAGGAAGCUGCAGUUUCCUGAGAAUCGGAAAGAAAGUUUACAGAACGCUUGCUGGGAAUGUGGAUUAUAGAUAAAGAUAAAAUUCGUAACCAUUUGUAUUUA